rnacentral:rRNA from 1 species
GAUGAACGCUGGCGGCGUGCUUAACACAUGCAAGUCGAACGGAAAGGCCCUGCGUUUGUGGGUUUGUCGAUUGGCGAACGGGUGUGUAACACGUGAGGAACCUGCCCUUGUCUUUGGGAGAACUUCAGGAAACUGGGGCUCUUACCGGAGAUGAUCUCCUGCUGCAUGGUGUGGGUUGGAGAGUUUCGGCUGUUGUGGCUGGUCUCGCGGCUUAUCAGCUAGUUGGUGGAGUAGUUGCGGUCCAAGGCUUUGACGGGUCGCCCGCAUGAGAGGGUUAACGGCCACAUUGGGACUGCGAGACGGAGCAGAAUGCUACGUGAGGCAGCAGUCGGGAAUAUUGCACAACAGGGGGGCGCCUGAUGUAGCGACGCCGCGUGCGGGAUGCCGGCCUUCGGGGUGUAAACAGAUUUCGCCUGUGACGAAGAGUGAGUGACGGUAAUGGGUAAAGAAGCCACGGCUAACUACGUG